rnacentral:lncRNA from 1 species
GCCGCACGCAGCCACCGCGGGCGGGGCGGGGCUGCCAGCGUCGCGCUGGGCCGGGCGGGCUGGGCCGCGCCGCAGCGCCGGCGGCUGAUUCGGAGGCAGCGGCGGGGGAUGGACGAAGGUACCUGCGGCGGCCAGCGGCGACGGGCGGCCCAGAUUGCAGCCUCUGUUUAAGUAUUGGGAAGGCUCUGGAUCAUCUUCAACAAGACGGACGUUGA